rnacentral:lncRNA from 1 species
GGCGGGUGCUGGCUGAGUUCUUACAGGUGCUCUUUCAAGGGAGGCACUAUCGGUUGUCAGAUAAAUACGCCUGACCUUUUCACAAUUGAAAAAAAGUACAUUUUCUGUCAGAUCCCGGUGGAAAUGCGAACGGCACGGGGCACCGCUAAGAGCCCGCCUCCGUUUCAGAGCCUGCCGUCCCUGCUUCCCAGGCAGGCAGUGAGGCAAGCUGGGCCCGAUCCGGCCACCUGCAGACGCUGAGGCCACCCCACGUGGGCUGUCAUCCCUUUCCUGGUUCCGCUGCGGGGCCCGCCCUGCCCCCCAUGGUCCAUUCACAGGGACGGAUCACAGAGGAGGCCCUGAGAAGGGUUUGACAUGGAUUGUUGCCUCUCUUCCCGCUCAGAAAUAGCGGUGGGUGGAGUGGGGGAGGGGGUAGUGACCUCGCAGCCUCGACGACCACCUGUCCUGACCCACAUCCAGCUCUCUUUCCCGGGAGCGGUGUGGGGUGAAAAGACCGAGCUCCUCGCCAGGAAGCCUGGGCCACAGCCUGGGUUCCGCCCCUAAUCGGCUCUUAGCAAACCCACCCCCCUUCCAAAUAGUCCUGGCGACUCCCCUCCAUCUCGCUUCACAGGCUUUUGUGGGAUGAGGAGUGUGGGACCUUUUCUAAGUUUGUGAAACACUAUAUGAACGUAAGGGAUUCUUGCCUUUAGGGCAUGGAGGGUGGGGCGCACCCCACCUGCUGUUCAGGCUUGGAUGCGGAUGGUCAGCGAUAACUUGCCCGGGACACGUAUCCAUCAUGUAGCAACAGUGACGGCGAUGGCACUUCAGACCCUGCUAGCGCGCCCCGCAUCUUGCUAAAUACUUUCUGGUGGUUUCCAUUUCGUCCUCACAAGGAUCUCACAGAAAGAAAACCGAGGCUCCGAGAGGUCAAAUAACCCGCUGGGCUGCCUGUAAGUGCUGGUGCCGAGUCAAGCCCGCGGGAUCCUCAAGUCCACGGUGUCAAUCCCUGUGCCUCCUCAGUGCCCCGGCUGCUUUGGCUGGCCACCAGCUCAGUGGCAGUCCGCAGCCACCCACACACCUGCCUUCCUACCUCCCCUGUGGUCGGGUAGCCCACGGAGCGCCAGGUUCUCUUUGCAGUCAGUCUGUGCCAAGUCACCCCAAGGAGAGCCCUGCGCGAAACUUCCGUGCGUGACGUUCUGCAGCCCGGGCAGUGUUUCCCCGACCUUCCAUUCACAUUGGGGUAUAUCUUGCAUUUGAAGACUGUUUUUCGGGGCGGGGGCGGGGGGGACCAUCCCAGAAAACAUGGUUCCCUCAGGGUCCAAUAUCUUCCGAUCUUUUCUUUUUUUCAGAUGUUUUUAAUGGGUGUGCUAUCAUAUCGUUUGUUAUCAUCAGAAAACGCUUGCUGUAACAAGCACUUAUCUGCACAUUAGCCGGAGUGAACACUCUGCUGAUCAAGUUAAACAGAUAAGAUCCCCACCCUUGUAGAAACUACAACUUAAUACACUCUAAGGCUUGACAAAUGACUCGUAUUUAUUUUCCAACUGCUUUAUCUCUGUAAAAUGAUGUGCUGAAUUACUAUAAUUGGUGUAGAAAGAACUGUUCCCUUAACUUAUGUAAACAGUCUGGUUUUGAAAACUUCACAGUUGUGGCUUAGCGAGUUCUCGACACACUCUGCCUUCCCUGAGACAGAGGAACCCCUGCUUGCCCUGUUCACCACUGUAUAUUCCGCUCUGGGCGCACUUUCUUUAACUCGUUUUUAAAUUUUUUGUUGUUGUUUUGAAAAAUUAAUACAUUUACACGGUAAGACAUCCAAACAAUACAAAAGAGUGAGUAUACAAUGGAAAGUAAGCUUCCUAUCGGAGGUCAGCCUUCAGUUCCCCAGCCCGCCUCCAGAACUAAUCACUGUUACCUAGAUCCUGUGUACCCUUUCUGAGCAAUUCUAUGCAUUUACAAGUUUAUAAAUAUGUAUAUUUAUAUAUCUAUUUUUAAUACAAAUGGUAGCAUUCUAUGCAGUGUUCUGAAGCUUGCUUCUUUUUUUUUUUUUUUUCCCACUUCCGCAAUGGAGAUUGUUUCAAAUUCAUCCAGUGGGUCAGUCUAAUUCUUUGAAAGCUCCUCACACGGUUCCUUGCAAACCGUAGCGGUCCCAAGAGUGUUCGAGUGAGUGAGUGAGUGAGUGCACGCACGUAUGCACGUGGGAAUGAAAGAGUCUGAUUCAACUGGUCGCUACAAAGUUGUCUCAGGGUCUACUCUGAGCAAGACAGAAUGUUCUAGAUUCUAGGAUGUGCCGUGUCAUCAGCCCUUCAACUACCCGCCCCCCUUCCCCGGCCGUGUCUUCCAAGGGAUCCAGGCCAUUCUUGACCUUUUCCAUGAACAGAUGCCACAGCAGCCUUAGGAUCCAGGUGCUGGGAACCUUGGGCCCCUCUGGAGGAAGGAGCAAACUAGGAGCCAGGUCCCAAG